UGCGUAGGCGGGCUAAUAAGUCAGUGGUGAAAUCUCUCGGCUCAACCGGGAAACUGCCAUUGAUACUGUUAGUCUUGAGUUCGGUUGAGGUAGGCGGAAUGUGUAAUGUAGCGGUGAAAUGCUUAGAUAUUACACAGAACACCAAUUGCGCAGGCAGCUUACUAGACCGACACUGACGCUGAGGCACGAAAGCGUGGGGAGCGAACAGGAUUAGAUACCCUGGUAGUCC
rnacentral:rRNA from 1 species